AAUCUGCGAAAGCCCCUGACAGUUUGAUCACUUUAUAUACAUUACGAUUAUACAGUGAGGUCUUGAAAAUACAGCUAUUUGCCGUAAACAUAAAUGUUUCUGGAAAAAAUAUAUAGAAUUCGUCGGGUUACUAAGCUGUACUGCAAAGUUUAAAUGUACCGAUGCAUUGUGGGAUAUUUAACGGCUGGAGGCGACUGUUCGCGGGCUUGAAAACGGGACCAAUAAUGACUUCGAUCGGCGCUGCACCAAGAACUGCUGAAGGAAACUACACAUAAACCUCAGAAGAACUCACUGAGUGCAACUUCUUUCUUCACCACAGGUUUUCCUAACAGGAUUGUCCAGCAUGAUGCUGCCGCCACUAUGCGGGCCUGGAAGGUUUCCAAGGUGCACAGAGGGGGACAAACAUCAGACUACUGAAUUGACGUGAUGUAAAUCGACUGAAUGCAUGGAGAGAGGAAUACAAAGACAUUGAGGUGUGCCUCUUAAAGAAAGUGGCCCUGAUCCUCCGUUGUAAAUAUCUCCUCCUGCCUCCUCAAUGUCAUCUGGAAAAUCUGCCAGAAUCCUGCUCCUGGGUGUAAUGCAGCUACACGCCUUUAGGGGGCAGCAGUGAGACGCAAGGCCACACACUGGCUGCGGGGAAAUGUCACGCAGAAUGACAGUAGAGAUGAUCGUCAGACGAAAAUGCUGCAAAUGACUUUUCACCAUGAAGCGCCACCCUGUCAUCUUCUACAUGGUCAGCUUCAGUUUGGACCGUUACCUUUCAACCCGCCUGCAAAUAUACGACGUACCAAACAAACGACACCUUUCUCUCUCCAAGGUCCGGAGCAUCUGAAUUCAUUAAAUCUGCAAUCAAACUUCAUCACAGGCAGAGAAACAACAGCUGACAGUAGGUGUGAAUAUGAAUGAGGAGAUUUUACAGCCGGAUUCUGGUUUUCAGAUGAAAGAUUAAAACGACCUGAACGUCCCUGAGGUAGAAAUGCUCGACUGUGAGAGAGAUUACUGUGGUCUCAUUUACUCUCAUCGUUGUUUUCGCCAUUUCUGUGGAAUAAAAGGAAAAAUGAC